CGGGACGGGGUUAUAUGGU
rnacentral:siRNA from 1 species